CCUACGGGGGGCAGCAGUGGGGAAUAUUGCACAAUGGGGGAAACCCUGAUGCAGCAACGCCGCGUGAGUGAGGAAGUAUUUCGGUAUGUAAAGCUCUAUCAGCAGGGAAUAGAAAAGAAGGUACCUGAAAAAGAAGCCCCGGCAAACUACGUGCCAGCAGCCGCGGUAAUACGUAGGGGGCUAGCGUUAUCCGGAAUUACUGGGCGUAAGGGGUGCGUAGGUGGUUUCUUAAGUCAGUGGUGAAAGGCUACGGCUCAACCGUAGUAAGCCUUUGAAACUGGGAAACUUGAGUGCAGGAGAGGAGAGUGGAAUUCCUAGUGUAGCGGUGAAAUGCGUAGAUAUUAGGAGGAACACCAGUUGCGAAGGCGGCUCUCUGGACUGUAACUGACACUGAGGCACGAAAGCGUGGGGAGCAAACAGGAUUAGAUACCCGGGUAGUC
rnacentral:rRNA from 1 species